GCCAAAUGAAAAUAUAACACCUGAAAUGACUUUGUAUUACCUUGCAUUACUUAAACAUUAAGCAAGCCAACUAUAACUGUAAGCUUGUAAUGAACACGAUGUGAGACAGAGAGCUGGUUUCAAGCGCAGGGCGCUGCAGGUGUUUAUUGGAAAAGGACCACAGGAGGCAGGCAGAAGGUCAUACACAGGAGGAGGCAGGUAGCUGGGUCCAGGGGCAGGCAGAAGGUCAUACACAGGAGGAGGCAGGUAGCUGGGUCCAGGGGCAGGCAGAAGGUCAUACACAGGAGGAGGCAGGUAGCUGGGUCCAGGGGCAGGCAGAAGGUCAUACACAGGAGGAGGCAGGUAGCUGGGUCCAGGAGCAGGCAGAAGGUCAUACACAGGAGGAGGCAGGUAGCUGGGUCCAGGGGCAGGCAGAAGGUCAUACACAGGAGGAGGCAGGUAGCUGGGUCCAGGGGCAGGCAGAAGGUCAUACACAGGAGGAGGCAGGUAGCUGGGUCCAGGGGCAGGCAGAAGGUCAUACACAGGAGGAGGCAGGUAGCUGGGUCCAGGGGCAGGCAGAAGGUCAUACACAGGAGGAGGCAGGUAGCUGGGUCCAGGGGCAGGCAGAAGGUCAUACACAGGAGGAGACAGGUAGCUGGGUCCAGGGGCAGGCAGAAGGUCAUACACAGGGGGCCAAAAAAAGGCUACAGUACAGGCAGGGAAAGGCUAG
ensembl:lncRNA